UACGUAGGGGCCGAGCGUUGUCCGGAGUUAUUGGGCGUAAAGCGCGCGCAGGCGGCCUCGCGCGCCCGACGUGAAAGCCCCCGGCUUAACCGGGGAGGGUCGUUGGGGACGGCGGGGCUUGAGGGCGGGAGAGGGUGGUGGAAUUCCCGGUGUAGUGGUGAAAUGCGUAGAGAUCGGGAGGAACACCCGUGGCGAAGGCGGCCACCUGGGCCGACCCUGACGCUGAGGCGCGAAGGCGUGGGGAGCGAACAGG
rnacentral:rRNA from 1 species